AUACGGAGGAUCCGAGCGUUAUCCGGAUUUAUUGGGUUUAAAGGGUGCGCAGGCGGGAGAUUAAGUCGGCGGUGAAAUUUUGCAGCUUAACUGUAAAAGUGCCUUCGAUACUGGCUUUCUUGAGUGUGGAUGAAGUAGGCGGAAUUUGGGGUGUAGCGGUGAAACGCUUAGAUAUCACGAGGAACUCCGAUUGCGCAGGCAGCUUACUAAACCACUACUGAUGCUCAUGCACGAAGGCGUGGGGAUC
rnacentral:rRNA from 1 species